UACAGAGGUGGCAAGCGUUGUUCGGAAUUACUGGGCGUAAAGGGCGCGUAGGCGGCCUUCUAAGUCAGACGUGAAAUCCCCCGGCUUAACCUGGGAACUGCGUCUGAUACUGGGAGGCUAGAGUUUGGGAGAGGGAUGCAGAAUUCCAGGUGUAGCGGUGAAAUGCGUAGAUAUCUGGAGGAAUACCGGUGGCGAAGGCGGCAUCCUGGACCAAUACUGACGCUGAGGCGCGAAAGCUAGGGGAGCAAACGGG
rnacentral:rRNA from 1 species